rnacentral:lncRNA from 1 species
GGGAGAUGGCGAGGCGGGUCUUCUGCCGCGUGGUUAGCGGGGUGGUCGGGGAGGAAGGGUUGAGGAUGGAAGCCGGGGUCGGAGGCGUCGCGGCGGCCGUGGCGAGGCGGCGUCGCAGGAAGAGGCGGCCGGCGGCGGCCAUGGCGGCGGCUGGGUUUAGGGUUUAGGAGGGGGAAUGACCGACACUCUGACUGAGAACGAGAAAGCUUUCUUUCACUUCGCUUGUAAGUGGCCCCGAUAUGUCAGACCCUGGUAGCAAGUUACCCCCUUUCUCGCGAUAUGGGGGCGCUGCUAAGCGCCGGCCAACCGGCCACGAUCCAGAACGGCGCCCUAACAAGCCG